UAGUAGGCAAGGGAAAUGACUGGAGAAAGAUAAUAUCGGUGGGGAUAUAUAUUGUGCGUGGUAGAGAAAUGUAGUGAGUGGGGGGAUAUACAUUGCAAGCGGGGUAGGAAAUCGAGUGGUUUGGAGAUGAAAUGGACCCUUACAAUAUUAGAAUUGGGGAUACAUAUGUCGUUUUCGUAGUUCGCUUGCACUUUUUCACUUAACUUGGUCUGACACAAAUAAACAGAUGGCAUUUCUAUAGAUAAAAAUAUUUUCUUUAUCUUUCGUCAGAUGUCCUGACACUGACUUCAGUGUGACCUGUGCAAGAUAAGCCGAUACGUGCAUACUGUAUACUAUUCUAUCAAACACACAGAUACUGUAGGCCUACCUGUUAGAAUCAUGCAUGGACUUGCGCUUAUCCUCUUUCCUCUUCUUCUUAACGUUUGCGGCGCAUGCACAGGUGGAUGGCAUUCCUUUCGCCACGGUGGCCCGUGCUUCAAGAUCUUCCACGAAAGAGAAAUAAGCUGGAAUAUUGCUCAUUCAAGAUGUCAGAAUAUGGGUACCGUCCUAGCACAAGUACCGGACCAUAGUACGCACACCCACCUCAUCAAUCUAAUAUGUGGAGGGAAACCGGAGUGCCUGGAGAAAAAACACCGGCCUACGGCCAGUACCUGGCAACUGCCCCACGUAGGUUUCGAACUCGCAACCCAGAGGUGGAGGGCUAGUGAUAAAGUGUCGGGGCACCUUAACCACUCGGCCACCAAAGUGAUUUGUCAGCACGAUAGCAAGUGUAACUUCAUGCAAAACUUCAUUACGAACCGGUCAGGCUGUCGUGUCAAGUCCUUAAUGAUGUUAUAGCCUCUACACACUCGGCUUCAGGCAGCGAUGAGUUUUUCAUGGUCGGAGCAACUAAUUGGGGCGGAAGUUGGAGAUGGGAAAUCGUAGGUACUUCUCUACCCGGCCGAUACAGCGGCUACUGGGUAGGGGACAACCCAGAUAACUACUGUAAACAAGGUCACACGUGCCACGAGGGACAACACUGCGUGGCGUAUACCAAUAAAAAUAACAACGAUGAUUAUGCCUGGGAUGACAUCACGUGCAGUGUGGACAAUUACAACUAUUACAUUUGUGAAAAGAAUGCAGAAGGUCACAGUGGGCCAAUCGUCGGAUGAAAGACUUCUCCGUCCUCACGCAACAAGAAGCCAAACAAACAUUCAGUAAAACGCUGUUUUAUUUGAAUAAAAGUGAAUUAAGAUCGU